CCUACGGGUGGCAGCAGUGGGGAAUAUUGCUCAAUGGGCGAAACCCUGAAGCAGCAACGCCGCGUGAAGGAUGAAGGCCUUCGGAUUGUAAACUUCUUUUGAUAUGGAAGAUAAUGACGGUAUCUAACGCAUAAUGUAUGGCUAAUACCGUUCCAGCAGCCCCGGUAAUACGGAGGGUGCAAGCGUUAGACGGAAUCACUGGGCGUAAAGAGCGCGUAGGGGGGAUAGCAAGUCAGUUGUGAAAUCGUAUGGCUUAACCGUAGAACUGCAGUUGAAACUGUAAUUCUAGAGUAUGGGAGAGGUGGGCGGAAUGCGUGGUGUAGCGGUAAAAUGCGUAGAGAUCAAGAGGAAUACUGAUUGCGAAGGCGGCAUGCUAGAACGUAACUGACGCUGAUGCGCGAAAGCGUGGGGAGCAAACAGGAUUAGAUACCCUUGUAGUC
rnacentral:rRNA from 1 species